GUCUGGAAAGGCGCGCGAUACAGGGUGACAGCCCCGUACACAAAAAUGCACAUGCUGUGAGCUCGAUGAGUAGGGCGGGACACGUGGUAUCCUGUCUGAAUAUGGGGGGACCAUCCUCCAAGGCUAAAUACUCCUGACUGACCGAUAGUGAACCAGUACCGUGAGGGAAAGGCGAAAAGAACCCCGGCGAGGGGAGUGAAAAAGAACCUGAAACCGUGUACGUACAAGCAGUGGGAGCACGCUUAGGCGUGUGACUGCGUACCUUUUGUAUAAUGGGUCAGCGACUUAUAUUCUGUAGCAAGGUUAACCGAAUAGGGGAGCCGAAGGGAAACCGAGUCUUAACUGGGCGUUAAGUUGCAGGGUAUAGACCCGAAACCCGGUGAUCUAGCCAUGGGCAGGUUGAAGGUUGGGUAACACUAACUGGAGGACCGAACCGACUAAUGUUGAAAAAUUAGCGGAUGACUUGUGGCUGGGGGUGAAAGGCCAAUCAAACCGGGAGAUAGCUGGUUCUCCCCGAAAGCUAUUUAGGUAGCGCCUCGUGAAUUCAUCUCCGGGGGUAGAGCACUGUUUCGGCAAGGGGGUCAUCCCGACUUACCAACCCGAUGCAAACUGCGAAUACCGGAGAAUGUUAUCACGGGAGACACACGGCGGGUGCUAACGUCCGUCGUGAAGAGGGAAACAACCCAGACCGCCAGCUAAGGUCCCAAAGUCAUGGUUAAGUGGGAAACGAUGUGGGAAGGCCCAGACAGCCAGGAUGUUGGCUUAGAAGCAGCCAUCAUUUAAAGAAAGCGUAAUAGCUCACUGGUCGAGUCGGCCUGCGCGGAAGAUGUAACGGGGCUAAACCAUGCAC
rnacentral:rRNA from 1 species